AAGAGCAAAGAGGCUUUUUUCUUUUCUAUCAGCUAACUUGGCACUGACCACAGAGAUCAGGAUCAAGAUGGCUCCUAUGUCCUUUGAUUGUAUCUGGUCCUUUGAUGGUUCCUAUGUCCUUUGAUUGUACUUGGUCAGUAUCUUAUCUUGCCUGUUUCAUUCAAUCACCCUUUUUCUGAUCUUGGGACAGCAGAUAGUGUCGCAGUAUCUGCUGACAGAUUUUUUUUUUCUUUUUGUAUGGUAACUAAUAGCACAGAAAGAACUUGAAUCUUUGCCAGCCUCCUACACAUCUUUUGGGGUUAGUAAGUUAUAUAGUCCCUAUAUGCAGCUCAUAGCCAGAGAAGUCCAGGACCAACUGUUCUGAAGGUUUCAUUUUAUGAAAUGAGAGCUUACCCACUCCUUUCCAGCCAAGAGAGAACUGGAGGUGGGUUAAAACCACGAGGCAGAUGACUUGUGAGGUACUGAGAGCAAGAGAAGAUUACAUCUUCAGAGCAUACUAGCAAUUCAAGAUCCCUGAAAGGCCAGCCUGUUAUCCACAGGAUCAGCAUAGGACCUGACCACACGUGCCUGGUACAGAUGGAAGCAGCAGCACUCAUUCCUCUCCUUGGAGUUCACUGGGAGGGAAGAUUGAGCUUUGGAGGCAGGCAAGAGUACGUCUUCUUACAGGACUGCUGAGAUAUGCAAAGACUGUAGCUGAGCACCAACAACAUCUGGAGGAAUGACAAAAGAGAAAUAGGACAGAGUUUACUUCAGCUAAAAAGAACAGAAGGCUUCUCUAGCACAAGUUUUCAGUUGAAGCAAUCCAACUGCUACCAUAAAGG
ensembl:lncRNA